GGAGAGGUGCGAGAGUGGUUGAAUCGGGCGGUCUCGAAAACCGUUGACUCGCUUGCGGGUCCGUGGGUUCGAAUCCCACCCUCUCCG
rnacentral:tRNA from 4 species